rnacentral:rRNA from 1 species
UACGGGGGGGGCAAGCGUUGUUCGGAAUUACUGGGCGUAAAGGGCUCGUAGGCGGCCAACUAAGUCGGAUGUGAAAUCCCCAGGCUUAACCUGGGAACUGCAUCCGAUACUGGAUGGCUUGAAUUCGGGAGAGGGAUGCAGAAUUCCAGGUGUAGCGGUGAAAUGCGUAGAUAUCGGGAAGAACAUCAGUGGCGAAGGCGGUCUGCUGGGCCGUUGCUGACGCUGAGGCGCGACAGCGUGGGGAGCAAACAGG